rnacentral:rRNA from 1 species
GAUCCUGGCUCAGGAUGAACGCUAGCUACAGGCUUAACACAUGCAAGUCGAGGGGCAGCAUGGUCUUAGCUUGCUAAGGCCGAUGGCGACCGGCGCACGGGUGAGUAACACGUAUCCGACCUGCCGUCUACUCUUGGACAGCCUUCUGAAAGGAAGAUUAAUACAAGAUGGCAUCAUGAGUCCGCAUGUUCACAUGAUUAAAGUNUCGUACGA